rnacentral:rRNA from 1 species
AGUGAACGCUGGCGGUAGGCCUAACACAUGCAAGUCGAACGGCAGCACAGUAAGAGCUUGCUCUUACGGUUGGCGAGUGGCGGACGGGUGAGGAAUACAUCGGAAUCUACUUUUUCGUGGGGGAUAACGUAGGGAAACUUACGCUAAUACCGCAUACGACCUACGGGUGAAAGCAGGGGAUCUUCGGACCUUUCGCGAUUGAAUGAGCCGAUGUCGGAUUAGCUAGUUGGCGGGGUAAAGGCCCACCAAGGCGACGAUCCGUAGCUGGCCUGAGAGGAUGAUCAGCCACACUGGAACUGAGACACGGUCCAGACUCCUACGGGAGGCAGCAGUGGGGAAUCUUGGACAAUGGGCGCAAGCCUGAUCCAGCAAUACCGCAUGGGUGAAGAAGGUCUUCGGGUCGUAAAGCUCUGUUGUUGGGAAAGAACAGCAGCAGGUUAAUCCACGGCUGUUCUGACGGUACCCAAAGAAUAAGCACCGGCUAACUUCGUG